CCUACGGGUGGCAGCAGUGGGGAAUAUUGGGCAAUGGGCGCAAGCCUGACCCAGCAACGCCGCGUGAAGGAAGAAGGCUUUCGGGUUGUAAAGAUCUGUUGACAGGGACGAAUAAGCAAUGCGAAUAGUUUUGUGUAUGACGGUACCUGUUUAGAAAGCUCCGGCUAACUACGUGCCAGCAGCCGCGGUAAUACGUAGGGAGCAAGCGUUGUCCGGAAUUACUGGGCGUAAAGGGCGCGUAGGUGGGCGCUCAAGUCAGGUGUGAAAACCCCGGGCUCAACCAGGAGACUGCACUUGAAACUGGGUGUCUUGAGGGCAGGAGAGGAAAGUGGAAUUCCUGGUGUAGCGGUGAAAUGCGUAGAGAUUAGGAGGAAUACCAGUGGCGAAGGCGACUUUCUGGACUAUACCUGACGCUGAGGCGCGAAAGCGUGGGUAGCGAACGGGAUUAGAUACCCGUGUAGUC
rnacentral:rRNA from 1 species